rnacentral:lncRNA from 1 species
AUUAUCAGCGUUGCAGCGACAACAAUUUUCUACAUGCUUUGCGGCUGUUUUGGAUAUGCCGCGUUUGGAAAUUCAAGUCCUGGAAACCUUUUAACCGGUUUUGGUUUCUAUAACCCAUUUUGGCUCCUUGACAUAGCCAAUGCUGCCAUAGUUAUCCACCUUAUAGGUUCAUACCAAGUUUACUGCCAACCCCUUUAUGCAUUCGUUGAAAGUUACACGGCGAAAAGAUUCCCUCAGAGUGAUUUUGUGAAUAAGAACAUAAAAAUUCCAAUCCCUGGCAUACAAAUGUACAAGCUCAACCUAUUUAGAUUGGUUUGGAGGACAAUUUUUGUAAUAUUAUCAACUUUGGUAGCAAUGCUCCUUCCAUUCUUCAAUGAUAUUGUUGGACUUCUUGGUGCAAUCGGAUUUUGGCCACUUACCGUUUAUUUUCCGGUGGAGAUGUAUAUAGUUCAAAAGAGAAUACCAAAGUGGAGCUCAAAAUGGAUCUGUCUUCAAUUGCUUAGUGUUGUUUGUCUUAUAAUCUCUAUAGCUGCUGCUGUUGGUUCUAUUGCUGGGAUUGUUCUUGAUCUUAAAGUUUUUAAGCCAUUCAAGUCUGUCUAUUGAUUCAAUAUUGUGACUACAUUAAUUUGUGUAUGAUCAGUGUAUAGUUUGAGACUUCAUGGGAUACAUACUUUACAUUGCAGCUUGUGUGAAGGGGGAAAUAUUGUACACAACUGUGUGAGACUAUUUUAUUAAAAGGAAAAAUAUUUAUGUUGAAUGGUUCACUACUUGAAUAAUUAUAGUUGUUAAAGUUUAUUGCAAGUUGAACCUUGAACAUGAACAUGAACUGAAAUGUUUUCUUUUUGUUUUUCCUUCCUUCCAUCCAAUGCAAUAAUAUGAAAGAAAUAAAACAGUUUAUAGACUCUUGUUAUCUUCUUGAGUUGGCUAUUGUAAUUAGAAUUUUGAAAACUAACCUUCAUUGAAAAAUUAUUACAUGGAUAACAUAAGAAAAACUUUAUCUUGUAAAUUGUGCAUUAAUUUCAUUGAGACUUUAAAAAUUGAUUUUUGUUUUAUUAAACUCAUAAAUUAUUUCUAUUUCUGUCUUCUUAAAGAGUGUAAUAAGGGCACUUGUUACCAUAAUUUUUUUUAAUAGAAUAUAUUGAAUGUCAAAAUAUACACCCUCUGGUAACUAUUAUAAGCAAAAAUUUACAUUUUGCAUUCAUUCAAUUAAUAUAUGUCAUUUAAUGAAAGAAUCUAAAAUGUUAAUUUUUGUUUAUAUUAGUAACAGCAGGGUGUAUGUAUUUUUUAACUUGCAAAAUAAGAGAGUGUGAUAUUUUUACUAAAUUAUCCUUGCAAUGUAGUGAGAUACCCUCCUUGAAUACACCUCCCUAAAAUAAUGAAGCUCUUAUUUGUUAUGCUAAUAGAGAUUGCCUCACUGCAUUGUCAACUUUUUUUAAUAGAAUAAGGAAUUUAUCUUAAGUUUUUUUUUAAGGGAAUUUAUCUUAAGUUGUUUUCUUUAUCAAAAGUCACAAAUCUUAUUUCUUACACCAUUCUCUCUAUGUCCUCUAACCAUCACUUUACUGCUUGCUUCUGUCAUUAAUUGCACCCACAAAUUACAUGGCUGUAGAAUAUGCUACAAGAGGAUCCACCUACCAAAUUGAGUGUAUGGAAUCUCAUUCUCCCUUAUAUAUACCCCACGUUCAACACCAUCUUCCUUCAUUGCAUAAACUAGUUACACAACACGUUUAUUCAACUCAUUUAAUAUUAUAAGCAAGAGUGCUCAAAAGGGCAACAGACACACACACACAACACCCUCUUUGUGUCUCUUCCUUUCCUCUCUUUGACAUCCAACAUCACUGUUUUUGCCUGUACUUUCUAACUCUUAUAGUUAAAUCAGUUUUUGUUGACUUUUUGCAAGAAUUAAACGUUCUUGCAAGUUUCUGUCUCAUAAUUAAUAAAUAAUUAUUAAUCAACCACCCUUCUAAAUACAUUAUUACCUACAUCUCUGAGCUGUACCCUUCUUUGUCACUUGUCCAAAUAUUUAAAUUAGAACCUUUCUUUCAAAUACAUACUCCCCAUUGUUCACUAAAAAUUUAGUCAAGAUUAUAAACCUAACUUGGGUUAAUUAGUCUUUUAUCAUAACAAAGAUGGUUGAAAAGAAUGGUAGCACGAAUCAUCACCAAACAUUUGAUGUCUCCAUUGAUCAACAAAGAGAUUCUAAGUUUUUCGACGACGAUGGUCGUGUCAAACGAACCGGUAAUUAAGUCUCUUUUUUUCUCUUUCAUUGUUUUUUAUUUUGUUCGCACUGAUUUUAGACUCAACUCAAAUUCUAAUAUGUUUCUUGAAAAACACAGGAACUGCUUGGACUGCAAGUGCACAUGUAAUAACAGCUGUGAUAGGGUCUGGAGUGCUGUCUCUAGCUUGGGCUAUUGCUCAACUUGGAUGGAUUGCUGGUCCUAUUGUUAUGAUUCUCUUUGCUUGGGUUACUUAUUAUACCUCCAUUCUUCUCUGUGAAUGUUAUCGUACUGGUGAUCCUAUCAGUGGCAAGAGAAACUAUACUUACAUGGAUGUUGUUCAUUCCAAUCUUGGUAAAUUCAAAUUCACACACCUAGCUAACCAUACAUUUAUAUAUAUAAGAAAACAAAUUUCAAAUUUUUUUUUCAGUAUGAAAUAUUUACUUUUUUUCUUGUUUUUUAUGUUUGUUCAGGUGGUUUUCAAGUCACGUUAUGUGGGAUAGUUCAGUAUCUCAACCUUGUUGGAGUUGCCAUUGGAUACACUAUAGCCUCAGCCAUAAGCAUGAUGUAAGUUUGAGAUCUUAUUCAUAUUUUAAAGUUAAUUUUAUUCAAGAAAAUAUCCAAGGAAUAUGGUAGAAUUGACUUUGGUUAAUUUUGUAUGAAACAGGGCAAUUGAAAGGUCAAAUUGUUUCCAUAGAAGUGGUGGAAAAGAUCCAUGUCACAUGAAUAGCAAUAUUUACAUGAUUUCAUUUGGUGCAGUGCAAAUUAUAUUCUCUCAAAUUCCAGAUUUUGAUCAAAUAUGGUGGCUCUCCAGUUUAGCUACUGUUAUGUCCUUUAUAUACUCCACAAUUGGCCUUGGCCUUGGUAUUGGGAAAGUUAUAGGUAUAUGUAAUUCUACACAUAUAUAAUUUAUAUUCUUUUAUUGUCUAUAAUAAAAAAAAUGUUUGAUUCAAAUUGGUCAUGUAAUAGAAAAUAAAAAGAUUGAUGGAACCGUAACCGGGGUAACUGAUGUAACAAAAGCUCAGAAAGUUUGGGGGAGUUUUCAAGCUCUUGGUGACAUAGCCUUUGCAUAUUCAUACUCCAUGAUCCUUAUAGAAAUUCAGGUAUUAAUUCAUUUUCUUGUAUUUCUUUUUUAUAAGACUUGUUUUGUUCCAUAACUUUAUAAAAAUAUUUCCAACAGUCAUAAAAUUCAAGUCCCAUAUUGAAAAUAGACAAGGUUUGAAAAAAGAAAUAUAACGAAUGACUUUAUCACCUUAUAAGUUAGUUUUCUAGGGCUGAGUUAAGCUCAAUCAAAGUUUAAAAAUUAUAUUAUUAUUAUGAAUCAGGACACGGUUAAAGCACCACCUCCGACUGAGGCAAAGACAAUGAAGAAGGCUACAAUCAUCAGCGUUGCAUCGACAACAUUUUUCUACAUGCUUUGCGGCUGUUUUGGAUAUGCUGCGUUUGGAAAUUCAAGUCCUGGAAACCUUUUAACCGGUUUUGGUUUCUAUAACCCAUUUUGGCUCCUUGACAUAGCCAAUGCUGCCAUAGUUAUCCACCUCAUUGGUGCGUACCAAGUCUACUGCCAACCCCUUUAUGCAUUCGUCGAAAAUUACACGGCAAAAAGAUUCCCUCGCAGUGAUUUUGUGAAUAAGAACAUAAAAAUUCCAAUCCCUGGCAUACAAAUGUACAAGCUCAACCUAUUUAGGUUGGUUUGGAGGACAAUUUUUGUAAUAUUAACAACUUUGGUAUCUAUGCUCCUUCCAUUUUUCAAUGACAUAGUUGGACUUCUUGGUGCACUCGGAUUUUGGCCUCUUACAGUUUAUUUUCCGGUGGAGAUGUAUAUAAUUCAAAAGAGAAUACGGAAGUGGAGCUCGAAAUGGAUCUGUCUUCAAUUGCUUAGUGUUGCGUGUCUUAUAAUCUCUAUAGCUGCUACUGUUGGUUCUGUUGCUGGGAUUAUACUUGAUCUUAAAGUUUUUAAGCCAUUCAAAACUAUGUAUUGAUUAAAUAUUGUGACUACAUUAAAUUUGUGUAUGAUCAGUAUAUAAUUUGAGAUUUCAUGAGAUACAUACUUUAUAUUGCAGCUUGUGUGAAGGGAUUAAUAUUGGAAGGGGGAAAUGUUGUACACAACUGUGUGAGACUAUUUUAUUACAUGGAAAAAUAUUUUAUUGUAAGUUGAACCUUGAACAUGAACAUGGACUGAAAUGUUUUCUUUUUGUUUUUCCUUCCUUCGGAUCCAAUGCAAUAUGAAAGAAAUAAAACAGUUUAUAGACUCUUGUUAUCUUCUUGAGUUGGCUAUUGUAAUUAGAAUUUUGAAAACUAAUCUUCACUAAAAAAUUAUUACAUGGAUAACAUAAGAAAAAAGUAGAAGAAUUUGAUAUCCAAUUUCAAUUUAUUUGGUUUGUGUGUAGAGAGAGAAUGAAAGUAAAAUUAAGAGUAAAUGGUCAUUUUAGUCCCGGACUCUGUAGCUCGCUGUCAUAAAGGUCUCUUGACUCACGAUUAAAAACAAAGUAGUCUCUGAAUGUGCACUUCCGUUAUCAGUUUAGUCAUUGGCGUUAAAAAAUUAUGUUAACUAAUGAGGUGGCAAAUGUUUUGUGCUGACAAGGUGCGUGAGUUGUCACAAGGGCUAAAGUGAAAGUAUAAAAUGGUCACUUUGGUCCUUGAACCGAAAAUCCUCCAAAUUAAAUCUCAAAUCCUUAAAUUCCGAAUUUAAUCCCCAAAUCCCUAAAUCUCAAAUCUCUAAAUCUCAUCUAAUUUCCUCUUUAGUUCAAAAUUAAAUCUUCCAUUAAACACCAAAAUUGAAUCACAUGAUGGAUGUUGGUGCAAACUUGUCUUAACAAAGUGUUGCUCAUUCAUCAAGAAUUGAGUCAUCUUCCUCAAUGAAGUUGUCCUGAGCAUAUAGAAGAAACAAAUAGAAAACAUUAAAAUGGUCAUUAAGGUCGCUGAGUGUGCAUACUUACUAUCAGUUAGGUCCCUAACAGUAAACACUUACUGUUACUAAGGUCCCUGACAAACCAUAGGUAUUAAUGUUGAAGAGAAUGUUGUUGAGAAUGAUUUUCCUAACAACAAUGACAUUUACCAUUCUGAAGAACUAAGGAUCCCUAUUACCAAUGAUGAAUGUGAUGGAAAUGAAGAACAGGUUUUCCCUCUGUUUAAUUCAAAUGCAAAGUUUGCAAGUUCACUUAGAGAUAGGAAUGAAAUUUGAUACUUUGGAUAUAUUCAAUGAAGUUGUGAGGAACUACACAAUAUACCAUGGAAGAAAUAUAAAGUGGUUGAAAAAUAACAAACAAUAGUAUAGAGCUAUAUGCAAUGAUCAAGAAUGCAAUUCAAUGAUACAAACUCUACGUACUUUUUAUAUAGUAGUGAUUAUUUUUAUACGUGUUUAUGAUGCUGCCACUUUGUGCAUGUACGUGUUUAUUGUCAUUUUAGUCCCUGUAAUAAUUUUCUACUCUCACUUUAGUCCAAUGUGACACCUCAUCAGUUAACAUAAUUUUUUAACGUUAAGGGACUAAACUGAUAACGGAAAUGCACAUUCAAGGACUAAUUUAUACUUAAUCAUGAGUCAAGGAACUUUGUGAUAACGAUGUGCAGAGUCAGAUACUAAAAUGGUAUGUGUUUAUUCUCCCUUAUAUAUAGCCCACGUUCGACACCAUCUUCCUUCAUUACAUAAACUAGACACACGUUUAUUCAAAUCAUCUAAUAUUGUUAUAAGCAAGAGUGCCCAAAAGGGCAGCACAUACACACAACAAACACCUUCUUUGUGUCUCAUCCUUUCCUCUCUUUGACUUCCAACAUCACUGUUUUUGCCUGUACUUCCUAACUCUUAUAGUUAAAUUAGUUUUUGUUGACUUUUUUUGAGCUUUUGCAUGAAUUAAACGUUCUUACAUGUUUCUGCCUCGUAGUAAAUCAUUAUUAAUUAACCACUCUAAACUAGUACAUCUCUGAGCUGUACCCUUCUUUGCCACUUUUCCAAAUAUUUAUAUUAGAACCUUUCUUCUAGUACAUACUCCCCAUUGUUCACCAAAUUCAAGAAUCAAGAUUGUUUUUUCAUCACAAUAUUAGUUGGAAAUUUUUAUAAACCUAACUCUGGUUGAUUAGUCUUUUAUCAUAACAAAGAUGGUUGACAAGAAUGGUAGCACGAAUCAUCACCAAACAUUUGAUGUCUCCAUUGAUCAACAAAGAGAUUCUAAGUACUUCGACGAUGAUGGUCGCGUCAAAAGAACCGGUAAUUAAGUAUUGACUUUUAUUUUGUUUGCAUACUCGACCCAAAUUCUAAUAUGUUUCUUGAAAAACACAGGAACUGUUUGGACUGCAAGUGCACAUGUAAUAACAGCUGUGGUAGGGUCUGGAGUUCUGUCUCUAGCUUGGGCUAUUGCUCAACUCGGAUGGAUUGCUGGUCCUAUUGUCAUGAUUCUCUUUGCUUGGGUUACUUACUACACUGCCAUUCUUCUUUGUGAAUGUUAUCGUAAUGAUGAUCCUAUCAAUGGCAAGAGAAACUACACUUACAUGGAUGUUGUUCAUUCCAAUCUUGGUAAAUUCUUCUCUGUGAAUAUAUAUAAAGAAAAGCAAAUUCAAAAAAAAUUCAGUAUGAAAUGUUUACUUUUGUUUUUGUGUUUAUGUUUGUUUAGGUGGUUUUCAAGUCACGUUAUGUGGGAUAGUUCAGUAUCUAAACCUUGUAGGAGUUGCCAUUGGAUACACUAUAGCUUCUGCCAUAAGCAUGAUGUAAGUUUAAUUGAGAUCUUAAUCAUUUAGUUAAUUUCAUUGAAGAAAAUAUCCAAAGAAUAUGGUAUAAUUAACUUUGGUUAAUUCUGUAUGAAACAGGGCAAUUGAAAGGUCAAAUUGUUUCCAUAGAAGUGGUGGAAAAGAUCCAUGUCACAUGAAAAGCAAUAUUUACAUGAUUUCAUUUGGUGCAGUGCAAAUUAUAUUCUCUCAAAUUCCAGAUUUUGAUCAAUUGUGGUGGCUCUCCAGUUUAGCUGCUGUUAUGUCCUUUACAUACUCCACAAUUGGUCUUGGCCUUGGUAUUGGAAAAGUUAUAGGAAAUAAAAAGAUUGAUGGAACCAUGGCUGGGGUAACUGAUGUGACAAAAGCUCAGAAAGUUUGGGGGAGUUUGCAAGCUCUUGGUGACAUAGCCUUUGCAUACUCAUACUCCAUGAUCCUUAUAGAAAUUCAGGUAUUAGUUCAUUUUCCUAUAUUUUCUUUGUUAUAAGACUUGUUUUGUUCCACAACAUUAUAAAAAUAUUUCCAACAAGCAUAAAAUCCAAGUCCUGUAUUGUAAAAAAGAAAAGGCUUGAAAAAUAAGUAUAAUGAAUGAUAUUUAUCUUCUUAUAAGUUAGUUUUAUAGGGUUGAGUUAAGCUCAAUCAAAAUUUAAAAAAUUAUGUUGUUAUGAAUCAGGACACGGUAAAAGCACCACCUCCGUCUGAGGCAAAAACAAUGAAGAAGGCUACAAUCAUCGGCGUUGCAGCGACAGCAUUUUUCUACAUGCUUUGUGGCUGUUUUGGAUACGCGGCAUUUGGAAAUUCAAGUCCUGGAAACCUUUUAACCGGUUUUGGUUUCUAUAACCCAUUUUGGCUCCUUGACAUAGCCAAUGUUGCCAUAGUUAUCCACCUCAUUGGUGCAUACCAAGUCUACUGCCAACCCCUUUAUGCAUUCGUUGAAAAUUACACAGCGAAAAGAUUCCCUCAGAGUGAUCUUGUGAAUA